rnacentral:lncRNA from 1 species
GUAAUAAAGAACUAGCCAUUUCCAUCUUAUGACCUUCAGAGCCUAGCUUAUUUCCCCGAUCUAAUUUAGAUGAGCCAUCUGAGCUGAUGGGUAAAUGCAUGGGAGUCGAAGAGAUUCAAGACCAUCGAGAUCAUCACGUAAUAAGCAGAAACCAUUAACUCCUUGGCGGGGCCCAGAAUCUUUCAGUACGCGAUCCCAUUCCCCGCCCUCUCAGAUCGCAUCCUAACGGGCA